rnacentral:rRNA from 1 species
GUGGGGAAUCUUCCGCAAUGGACGAAAGUCUGACGGAGCAACGCCGCGUGAGUGAUGAAGGUCUUCGGAUUGUAAAGCUCUGUUAAUCGGGACGAAAGAGCCUAGUGUGAAUAAUGCUAGGAAGUGACGGUACCGGAAUAGAAAGCCACGGCUAACUACGUGCCAGCAGCCGCGGUAAUACGUAGGUGGCAAGCGUUGUCCGGAAUUAUUGGGCGUAAAGCGCGCGCAGGCGGAUCUGCCAGUCUGUCUUAAAAGUUCGGGGCUUAACCCCGUGAUGGGAUGGAAACUACAGAUAUAGAGUAUCGGAGAGGAAAGUGGAAUUCCUAGUGUAGCGGUGAAAUGCGUAGAUAUUAGGAAGAACACCAGUGGCGAAGGCGACUUUCUGGACGAAAACUGACGCUGAGGCGCGAAAGCCAGGGGAGCGAACGGGAUUAGAAACCCGAGUAGUCC